GCCAGGGUGGUGUAGUGGUUUGAGCGCUGCACUACAACUCUGGAGAGCAGGAUUUGAUUCCCUGCUCAGCCA